UCCAUCAUUUGAUGCUAGUUC
rnacentral:siRNA from 1 species